GCUCAGGUUUUGUUAUGGUUCGGUUGUUGAUGAUGCUACACACACACAACAUAGACGAAGACAGGGGGCAACACAGGGCACCCGACUACUGAUUGCAGUGUUUACAUUUCGUCCAGCUGACUUCUGUGGACAUGCUGGAACGCAGGAUUCCCGCUAAGUUCAUUACGUCACUUCCGUUGUCCUCGACUCGACCUGACGCAGCAGCAGACAAUCUGCUAUCAGUAGGCGAGACAAUUUGCAUGUAGCGACCGCGCUGUAGACCACGUGUAAUGAUUGAAUCAAAGCAGUUAUAGACCGUGGAUAGAGAGUCAGUCUUGUAAAACGCGCAGUUGUGCCCUCCCCAAAUUGCCCUAGAUUGAUGAUGGUGGGCGACGAGAGGGAGUGUGUGGCAAUUCCUCGUGGUCGUUUAAUGGAGACAUAAAAGCAAAAAUAUUUCGACUCUCGGCCUACUUCUAGAUCCUUUCACGAGAUUCAUUGACGUUGGUGUGACUUUGACAUUGGGCUUCCAUUCAACCAGGGGGAUGGGGAACUGAUAUGUGCCCACGUGGUCUGGAGAAAUUUUGGCAGAGUUCAAAGUUCUUACUUUUGGGAGGUUGCCUUUUUAUCAUGAAGGUAAAAACCCCUGCGAUAUUCAGCUGAUAACCUAAAACAAGUUUCAGGAUGUGGAUGAAGACUUAAUCAUUUAGUAACUUUUAUAAUUCCAUUCAAGGACAAAUUAAUGAACAAUCUUUUAUCAACAUGACACAAUAUCAAAUCCUGUUAAUUUUCUCCAACCGACUUCCAGUGUUAUCAAAUUGUUGAAGUGUGAAAUAAACAAAACAGGAUAAACCCCUCCAUUAAAUAUGCAAAUUACAUUGCACCCGGCGGACCGGCAGUUAAGUUGUACGCAUGCCCGUGGUAGUAUCACCUAAGCCCUCCACACACAGCCAUUUUGAAAUAAUUAGCAAAACAAUGUGUUGGCUUCACUCGAAUCGGGGAAUGCGUGGUUGUUUGCCUCGCAACGCUCUACACACCACACCGCGUGCGGUAAUUUAGUUUGGCGAACCUGGACAAACUGUGUGAAAAUCUCAGACUGUUACUGCAGAGAAUUUCAACGGGAGCAACUCGCUGUGUACGCAACCAAGGGCCCACCUACUGGAACUGCAAGUCUUCGGAGACAUUUUCUAAGGAGUUCAGAGCGGACCUCCCAAAAAAUAUCCGAGUACAUGGACUGAGCAUCCUGUUCAUUUUAGGAAGUCAGGAACAUCGAAAAAUCAAGUCUGGUGCUUGUCCUUUUUCCUUUUCUCUCGAGCAAGUCAACGAAAGUAUCCCUCCAGAAACUUGUAUGUCAACCCCACUGUUUGUUAAGUCUUCUGGCUUUCCUUUAAUUGACCUUGCACUGAACACUCUGGAGCCUUCAUCAAAAGGUAAGAUGUUACUUAUGGCUUUCCCUGUGUUACUUAUA